rnacentral:rRNA from 1 species
UACAGAGGGUGCAAGCGUUGUUCGGAAUUAUUGGGCGUAAAGCGCGUGUAGGCGGCUUUGCAAGUCGGGUGUGAAAGCCCUCAGCUCAACUGAGGAAGUGCGCCCGAAACUGCAGAGCUUGAGUACCGGAGAGGAUGGCGGAAUUCCCCAAGUAGAGGUGAAAAUUCGUAGAUAUGGGGAGGAACACCGGUGGCGAAGGCGGCCAUCUGGACGGAUACUGACGCUGAGACGCGAAAGCGUGGGGAGCAAACAGGG